rnacentral:rRNA from 1 species
AUUGAACGCUGGCGGCAGGCCUAACACAUGCAAGUCGAACGGUAACAGGGAUCAGCUUGCUGAUUCGCUGACGAGUGGCGGACGGGUGAGUAAUGUCUGGGAAACUGCCUGAUGGAGGGGGAUAACUACUGGAAACGGUAGCUAAUACCGCAUAACGUCGCAAGACCAAAGAGGGGGACCUUCGGGCCUCUUGCCAUCGGAUGUGCCCAGAUGGGAUUAGCUAGUAGGUGGGGUAACGGCUCACCUAGGCGACGAUCCCUAGCUGGUCUGAGAGGAUGGCCCGGCCACACUGAAAAUGGGAACGGGCCCAGACCCCAGGGGGAGGCGGCGGGGGGAAAUUUGGCCAAAGGGGGGCAAGCCUGAUGCAGCCAGGCCGGGUGAAUGAAGAAGGCCUUCGGGUUGUAAAGUAUUUUCAGGGGGGAGGAAGGGAGUAAAGUUAAACCCUUUGCUCAUUGACGUUACCCGCAGAAAAAGCACCGGCUAACCCCGU